ACUCCGAAACUGCAUUCGAUACUGCCGUGCUUGAGGACUGGAGAGGAGACUGGAAUUUACGGUGUAGCGGUGAAAUGCGUAGAUAUCGUAAGGAAGACCAGUGGUGUAGACGGCUCUCUGGACCGCAACUGACGCUGAGACACGAAAGCGUGGGGAGCGAACAGGAUUAGAUACCCUGGUAGUCCACGCCCUAAACGAUGCAUAUUUGGUGUAGGUCAUUCAGUUGAUCUGUGCCGGAGCUAACGCGUUAAAUAUGCCGCCUGGGGAGUACAGUCGCAAGGCUGAAACUCAAAGGAAUUGACGGGGGCCCGCACAAGCGGUGGAGUAUGUGGCUCAAUUCGAUGCAACGCGAAGAACCUUACCAGGCCUUGACAUGCAUUGCUAAGUUGGUGAAAGCCAGCGACUGGAG
rnacentral:rRNA from 1 species